GCCCGGAUGGUCUAGUGGUAUGAUUCUUCCUUCGGGGUCACUCUCGGUGUGUGAAACACACUCUGUCUGGAAGAGGUCCUGGGUUCGACUCCCAGUUCGGGCC